GUCCCUGUCGAUUAGUGGUUAAAUCAUCACGUUGUGGUGGUGAUAAAUUGAUUCAUCUGCAAUUCCGUGAAGCCGGGAGCUCGAAUCUCCCCAGGGACA